UCAAGGGAUAUUUAGCAUAGAAAAAUAAUUUGCGAUUAAUCACGAUUAAUUAGAGUUAACUAUGACAUGAAUGCAAUUAAUCACGAUUAAAUAUUUUAAUCGCUUGACAGCUCUAGUAAUAAUAGUUUAAGUACAGCCACGGUUUUGUGUAUAUAAAAGUAACAUUACUUAGCUACCUAACGUUUCUUUCCAUGUAGCAACAUGUUAUAGAUGUGAUGAUGCGAGUAACCCAGUACAAUUGAAGCUUAAUGAAUUUGUAUGUGUUAUUUCAUUCAGUGUCCAAUAAAGACAAGCUGACAGUGCAGGUCAGCGUGAGAGCCUUGUGCUACAGGUCGAUGGGGAAGAGCGAGGCACCACAGUUUUAGAGUCUAGGCAGGAAGCUGUGUUCAUCCCUGUUCAGUGGUGUUUGUUCGGUUAAGCAGUAGCUAAGUGUAGUCCUCAAGGGCCACCAACUUGAAUGUUUUUCAUGUCUCCCUGUUUUUCACACACAAUUUAAUAUAGUCAAGGUAAUGAGUACAAGGCUACAACUUUUCAAUAAACAAGAUAUUUAUUGUCGUUUGCACAGCAGAAGUACAGGUACAUUGGAAUAAUUGUGAUUCUUGGAGUCCGCUUUAAAAAAAACCACAUCUUUAUUUUAAGAGGGAGAGAAUAUAACAGUAAGCAUUCAGGGUGGUAGGCUUUUUCUAGCACAGUUGAAGUACUUACCUUCAUAAGAAACAAGUUGUUUUUUACACCCAUGAUGCUGAGGUUAUAUUUCUAAUGAUCUCUUAGAUCAAGCUUUGUGAUUCAUCAGCCAAGGGAUGAAAAAAUAAAGAGUUAAUCUAUGGGCUGGAGCAGCUGUCUCUGAGAGGAAAAGAAAAAAAGUAUAGCUCAAAAACAACAAAUACAAAUGCAAUGGCAUCACGUAUAAUUACAUCUGGAACUACUUAUAAAGUAGUUACAGAUGUAAUUAUAUGUGAUGCCAUUGCAUUUGUAUUUGUUGUUUUUGAGCUAUACUUUUUUUCUUUUCCUCUCAGAGACAGCUGCUCCAGCCCAUAGAUUAACUCUUUAUUUUUUUAUCCCUUGGCUGAUGAAUCACAAAACUUGAUCUAAGAGAAAAAGGUAAAUCAUUAGAAAUAUAACCUCAGCAUCAUGGGUGUAAAAAACAACUUGUUUCUUAUGAAGGUAAGUACUUCAACUGUGCUAGAAAAAGCCUACCACCUGAAUGCUUACUGUUAUAUUCUCUCCCUCUUAAAAUAAAGAUGUGUUUUUUUUUAAAGCAGACUCCAAGAAUCACAAUUAUUCCAAUGUACCUGUACUUCUGCUGUGCAAACGACAAUAAAUAUCUUGUUUAUUGAAAAGUUGUAGCCUUGUACUCAUUACUCAGUACUCACUUGACUAUAUUAAAUUGUGUGUGAAAAACAGGGAGACAUGAAAAACAUUCAAGUUGGUGGCCCUUGAGGACUACACUUAGCUACUGCUUAACCGAACAAACACCACUGAACAGGGAUGAACACAGCUUCCUGCCUAGACUCAAACUGUGGUGCCUCGCUCUUCCCCAUCGACCUGUAGCACAAGGCUCUCACGCUGACCUGCACUGUCAGCUUGUCUUUAUUGGACACUGAAUGAAUUAACACAUACAAAUUCAUUAAGCUUCAAUUGUACUGGGUUACUCCCAUCAUCACAUCUAUAACAUGUUACUACAUGGAAAGAAACGUUAGGUAGCUAAGUAAUGUUACUUUUAUAUACACAAAACCGUGGCUGUACUUAAACUAUUAUUACUCAACACAACAGGCAAACAUCAAGGCUGAUAUAAAACACUUGUUAAGAAAUCUUGUUGGCGUUUGCUGUUCCUGCAUCGUAAUACACGUUCGACAGUGACAGUUAACUGACAGAUUAGACUUUGACAGUAGCUAGCGUCUGUUAGACGUCGUUUUCUUACCUUCGUAGCUGUGAAUGUAGGUCGAAGCAUACAGCCUAAACCCCUUCUCCAAUUUGCUUGUCGGAGUUUUUGUUUCCCGACAUAGACUAUGCACAUUUGUGAUAUUUAUUGUCGGCAGCUCCUGUAAACACUGGGUGUAGAACGUUGCCAUCUUGGAACCGGAAGCUGAUGAGCUGUAUUACGGCGAAUCAGGAAGUGCUUGUGCAAGUAGCCUAUUGACUGAGCAUCUUAACAGUA
rnacentral:lncRNA from 1 species